rnacentral:rRNA from 1 species
AUGGCACUCGAGGGCAACUUCUGGAUCAGGUCAUCUCGGUGGCUCGAGAGGCUGGGGAUGAUGCGUCUGCUCGAUGCAAAAUGGCGGUGGUGGGAUCCAGCGGGCGCGGGAGAAGGAGAGAUCCGACGCGGUAACGCGAAGUCCUUGCAAGUGGAGGCGGGCCUCAAUGGCUGGCAGGGAGAGCUCCAAGGUCAUGGCGGUGAUUUGAUUUUUCUGGUAGAGGAAAGAGAGAUAGAGGAGGAUCCAGGGUGGAGGAGAGGCAGGAGAAGAAGGACGGGGAAGAUGGAAGGGUGUUGCAGGGGUGCAGCACUGCGAGGGCACUGGUGCGCGUGA